UUCCCAAAUUUUUUAUUAAUUCUGCAAAUUAGUUCAUAAAACACACUAAACAAAACUAGAAAAAUAACAAACAUUAUUAGCAACAAUUUUGUCAAACAGUUGGUGUGCAACAAUUCUUCACCAUUUCUUCAUCUUCAUUCUCAUCCCAAGACCCAUACAAAAUCGAUCUAGGAGACCCAUAACACCCACCUUGACUUUCCUUAACAAACCCAUAAUACAUCAUCAAACCACCAUUUCCAAGAUCUUCAAAGCUCGAUUCUUUAACACCAUAACCCAUUUCCAUGCAACGAUACAUAAAAUUCAAUGUGUUUGAAACAACUCAACACCCUUUUGACCAGAAGAGUUAAAUCGAUUGAUGAUUGAAACAACUCAACACCCUUACCUAAUAAGCCGCUUAGCACUCACUUUCAAAAUCGAUUAAAGAUGAAGAGGAUUAGUAGUGGUGGAAGAAGAAGUUGUUCGUGGAUUGAAGGAGAAGGAGAAAGAAGAAGUCACGCCGUUUAGGAGCAAAGAGAUAGAGAAGGGCAAAUACGUGAAACUAGUGCGAAGGACCGAGUCAGCUACUUUUUCUUUGAGGACCGAAUCAGUGGUUGUGGACUGAAUCAGGUGUGCAAAGAACUCUAAUCAAACAAGCUGACCAGCUGACCCGGACCGAGUCAGAAAAAAAGGUCUGACUGGACCGAGUUAACUGUAUGUUUGGCAAUUAAAUCAACAAGGAAUCUUACGAUUAACAACAUUAAGGAACAACUUUCUAUUUAGCAUUCUCUUAUGUUGUAAUUAAGAUCACAGGGAGCUCUGUAAUAUGCAGGCAUGGUCGAAGGGAAGAACAUCUGACGUACUCCUUCCGCUUUUAUGAUCGGAAAUAUGAUUCCAGAUGCACCCUGCAUCAUUUUAAUGGUAUGCCAAUUUUUAGAUUUUAGAUUUCAAUUUUAUUAAAAGGGAAAUCUCUGAUAAAAUCCUAAUAUUUUAGGUCAAUUUACGAUUUAGUCCCAAAUUAAAUUUUGUUUACAAAAAUAGACAGAUUACCGGCUAAAACUUCGGAAUAACCCUUCGUGGCCGGUUUCACAGAUUUAGCCGAUAUCUCGUCUUUUUUCGUUAAUUAAUCCAAAUUUUGGGGCUUUUUCAUUAAUUAAUCAAAAUUUUAGGGCUUUUUCAUUAUUUAUUACCAAUAAACCAAAAUAUUUGGACUUUUCUGAAGACUACCUUUAAACUAAUAUAUAUUAUAUGAUCUAACUUAAUAUGUACCAUUCCCUGUCUUCUUUCUUACGCUCUUCUAGGCGCACCGUAUGUUUUUAUUGUCGUCGUCAAACCCAACAACAAAAAUCUCACUCACAAGCAUUGUUAACUCCAUCGAUUUUCCAAAAUCAUCCAUUCAUAACUCUACGAUCAUCUUUCAAUCUCCAAAUGAAGAAAUGAGAAAAUCAUUGUUGAUUAUGUGGAUGCCCCUAUUACCUAACCAUGACUUAAACCAUGGUUCCAAUACUCAGAUGUUCCUAUUACCUAACCAUGACCUGAAUCCUAUUUCGAACCCAUACACUAUUCGUAUUGUCCAUAGUGUUGUUCACAACAAAAUACGAAUCCCACAUGGUUUAACCACUGAUACCUUGGCUCAAGUCUUACAUGACCCUUGUUUCCUUACAAUAGGGCUUGAAAACCAUGAAGAAUGUUAACUCUAAUUGUUAAAAAAAAAAGUCAGCAAGCUAUCCAUCAUAAACUAUUAAAAAUAUUAAUUUGGUAUUCCUACGAGCUACGGUUCCAACACUUGGAUGUUCCUAUAACCUAACCAUGACUCAAACCUUAUUUCGAACCCAUACACUAAGGCAUUGACCAUAGUUUUGUUAACAAGAAAAAUUGAAUCCCACAUGGUUUAACCACUGAUACCUUGGCUCAAGUCUUACUUGACCCUUGUUUCCUUACAAUAUGUGUAACAUCCCAACUCUCAGGUAUAAUAUUUAAUUAAUUUAUAUUCUUGUUGUCUGAUAAACUUGACGAGUUGAAGGCCCCAACUUGCCGAGUAGAGAGUGUUAAUGGUCGCGUAAUUUCUAGAGUCUACUCGACGAGUUGGAGGAUCCCAACUCGACGAGUAGGAGCUAAGUGUGAAAACCCUAAUUUUCAGGGUUUGUGUCCUAUUUAAAGGACAUUAAGCCUUCAUUUUCGCCUCCCUUAUCAUCUUAACACUCUAAGAGAAACCCUAAUCGAGCUAUAUGCUUGUAGGAGAGAAAGAGGGGCUAAUAUUGCAUAUUGUAGUGCAUUUUUGGAAGAAGAUUGAGGAGAAAAAGGCUUGGGACGAGAAGGAGCUCUUGGAUCCAAUGUU
rnacentral:lncRNA from 1 species